CGGGGUGCACCAGGCGCGAAAACUUUACAAUGCUGGCAACAGCGAUAAGGGGACCUCGAGUGCCAGGAUACAAUCUUGGCUGUCGCGAUGCCUAAAAAGCAUUGCAUAGCAAGGGCCGGGCAAGACCGGUGCCAGCCGCCGCGGUAACACCGGCGGCUCGAGUGGUAACCGCUAUUAUUGGGUCUAAAGGGUCUGUAGCCGGCCGGAUAAGUCUUUUGGGAAAUCCAGCUGCUCAACGGAUGGGCUUUCAGAAGAUACUGUUCGGCUCGAGACCGGGAGAGGUGAGAGGUACUUCAGGGGUAGGGGUGAAAUCUUGUAAUCCUUGAAGGACCACCAGUGGCGAAGGCGUCUCACCAGAACGGAUCUGACGGCAAGGGACGAAAGCUAGGGGCACGAACCGGAUUAGAUACCCGGGUAGUCCUAGCCGUAAACGAUACUCGCUAGGUGUCAGCCACGGUGCGACCGUGGUUGGUGCCGUAGGGAAGCCGUGAAGCGAGCCACCUGGGAAGUACGGCCGCAAGGCUGAAACUUAAAGGAAUUGGCGGGGG
rnacentral:rRNA from 1 species